rnacentral:misc_RNA from 1 species
UGAAUCUGAGGAGGCUGCCAAGGCGUUUUAUAACUCCUACGCACGCCGUGUUGGCUUCAGCACCCGCGUCAGCUCCUCCCGUCGGUCCAGGAAGGAUGGAGCCAUCAUUCAGAGGUCGUUUGUCUGUGCCAAAGAAGGAUUCCGCAAUUUGAAUGAGAAACGUACCAAGGAUAGAGAAAUUAAGCGACCGCGUACUGUCACCCGGGUUGGCUGCAAGGCCGCUCUCUCUGUCAAGAUACAGGA